rnacentral:misc_RNA from 1 species
UUAAUUUACAGAAAUCCGCGCUGCACAAUCUACUUAAACUAUAAAGACCUUUAUUUCCGAUCUGCUACUCGAUCAGAAUGAAUCACGUCACGUAGUUGCGCUUGAUUUAUGAAACACUUUUCCUCGGAUUUUGCCAAACUUUUACGCGAUACCACACGAUACGCCCGGUUAAAAUUGAACGAUGAAUUUUUCGCGUGUCCCGAUACAACUUGCUUGGUCUCAGAAAAUUUUUGACAUAAAACAAAAGCAAAGAUCGCACGCUUCUCUUUCGUCAUUCGAUAAUUUGUCAUCCGACAGGAUAAUUAAAUUCCGAUCCUCA